GUUAUUUUGUUACGAUAAGGUAUUCUAUUAUUCUAGAGAAAAACCGAGCGAGCGCUUUCUUUUCCUCUCCUUUUUCUUUUUUUUUUUUUUUCUGGGUUUUUUUUCCCCCCUUUUUUUUUUUUUUCCUUCCCUUCUCUUGCUCUCCUGCUUUGGCUGCCCCUUGGGUGGCUCUCACUUUUGUGUUUACUGAGUGCGUCUCCUUGAUCGGGGCGAAGGGGCCGGCUGCCUCGCUGCCCGCUGCUACCGGCUGCUGCCCCACGAGCGAGGAGACAAGCAGGGCGCUCCGGCUUUUAUACCUUUUAUACCACCCCCCCCCCCCCCCCCCCCCCCCCCCCAUGGGCAUGUUCUCCCGGCGAGCACCAGCCCGGCCACGCAGCCAAUAAUGUUGCAGAGCUGUCUAACCCCCUCUCUUCCCUCCCUCCCUUCCUUUCUUCCCUCCUUCUCUCUCGUAACCCUCCGGAGUCCAGCUCGGGAGGGAAGAGGGGAUAGAAAGUUUCUGCCGCACGGUUUCUUUGCGUGCUGCUACCUGGGAUGGGCGCUUUACCCCUUCUGCUGGCCCCGGGUGGAAGGGGGACUACGCGCAUCCGCGGCCGCCCCGCAGCAUCCUUCUGUUUGCUGUGCUGUUCUCUGGGAUGUGUCGCUGCACAUCACACCCAGCAGUCCUGGUGUCAGGGCUGUAGGCUGCAACCGAAACAUCGGCACAUCUGGGAGGUGCUGAGGAAGCAGUUCCGUGCACAUCAGACUCAACCACAGGCAUCAGUUCUCAGCUCCUACACUAAUAUUUAAACAUGUAAAGAAGUGACCUGGCCAUCAACGAGACUGCGCAUCUGCCGGUGUGUGCCAGGGCUCCGGAUUUCUCCUUACCUUGGGCUUUUGGAGUUUCUCCUAGAUGGCCAGGACUUAGUAAAUCCGAGUUGUGGGUCCUCGCAAAAUGCUCAGCAGAGGUGGUCUUAACAAAAAGCAAGCCACCUUUCCUCCCUGCAAAAGCAGAACCCCAUCAAAGGACCGG
rnacentral:lncRNA from 1 species